rnacentral:piRNA from 1 species
UAGAUGAUAGGUACAUAGAUAGAUAAAUCU